rnacentral:lncRNA from 1 species
CUUUGCAGGAAUCUUUAACCUCACUCUCUGAAUUUGUUUUACAGAACAGGUGAAGGUUGGACCUCCUCUUCAUGAGAGAAGAAAGCCUUUGUGCUGCAUUGAGGGAAAAAUGUUGUUUUUAUGCCAACCAUACUGGAGUUGUAAAAUAAUCUAUGAAUAAAUUAAGAAGAUGCCUUUAAGAGUGUCAAUGAGAGAGAGAAACCCAAAAAGGGUGGUAUGAGUCUUGGUUCACACAGUCCCCCUGGUUAACUACU